rnacentral:rRNA from 1 species
AUUGAACGCUGGCGGCAGGCCUAACACAUGCAAGUCGAACGAGUGGCGGACGGGUGAGUAACGUCUGGGAAACUGCCUGAUGGAGGGGGAUAACUACUGGAAACGGUAGCUAAUACCGCAUACCAUCGGAUGUGCCCAGAUGGGAUUAGCUAGUAGGUGGGGUAAAGGCUCCCCUAGGCGACGAUCCCUAGCUGGUCUGAGAGGAUGACCAGCCACACUGGAGCUGAGACACGGUCCAGACUCCUACGGGAGGCAGCAGUGGGGAAUAUUGCACAAUGGGCGCAAGCCUGAUGCAGGCAUGCCGCGUGUAUGAAGAAGGCCUUCGGGUUGUAAAGCGCUUUAAGUUGGGAGGCGUUACCAACAGAAUAAGCACCGGCUAACUUCGUGCCAGCGGCCGCGGUAAUUC